UACGUAGGGGGCAAGCGUUGUCCGGAUUUAUUGGGCGUAAAGAGCGUGUAGGCGGUUUGGUAGGUCCGCUGUGAAAACUCGAGGCUCAACCUCGAGACGUCGGUUGAAACCACCUGGCUAGAGUCCGGAAGAGGAGAGUGGAAUUCCUGGUGUAGCGGUGAAAUGCGCAGAUAUCAGGAAGAACACCCGUGGCGAAGGCGGCUCUCUGGGACGGUACUGACGCUGAGACGCGAAAGCGUGGGGAGCGAACAGG
rnacentral:rRNA from 1 species